CAAACUUCCUUUCAGAUGGACGAUAUCCUCCAUGGAUUUCUAUCAAGGCCUGCCUGAUAGCAGCAAGACCAAAGGAUGCUCCCUCUGAAUUCAUCUGCCUGGGUCACUGUGGAUGUGGGAGCAGAACAGACUUAUCUUCACAGAAACAAGAGCCUUGUGAGUGGCCACUGUGACAGCAGAUACAUCUGCCUGUUUCAGGAGCAGCACCAAGAAUAUAUACUUAGUCUCCUCUGGUCAAGUAUUUGAGUUAAGUGAGUAGCUUUCUCCACUCCUCCAAAUUAUAAUUCUUUUGAAAA
rnacentral:lncRNA from 1 species